GUUACGCUGAUGCUAUUGCACCACAUGUGUUUUUCUUUGAAACAAACUUGCUUUGGCGGUGGGCCCAGCCUGCCGCCAGAGGUCUAAACUUACAACCAAUUUUUUAUCAACUUGUCACACCAGAUUAUUACUUAAUAGUCAAAACUUUCAACAACGGAUCUCUUGGUUCUCGCAUCGAUGAAAAACGCAGCGAAAUGCGAUACGUAAUAUGAAUUGCAGAUAUUCGUGAAUCAUCGAAUCUUUGAACGCACAUUGCGCCCUCUGGUAUUCCGGAGGGCAUGCCUGUUUGAGCGUCGUUUCUCCCUCAAACCGCUGGGUUUGGUGUUGAGCAAUACGACUUGGGUUUGCUUGAAAGACGGUAGUGGUAAGGCGGGAUCGCUUUGACAAUGGCUUAGGUCUAACCAAAAACAUUGCUUGCGGCGGUAACGUCUACCACGUAUAUCUUCAAACUUUGACCUCAAAUCAGGUAGGACUACCCGCUGAACUUAAGCAUAUCAUAAGGGGGAGGGAA
rnacentral:rRNA from 1 species